UGCCCCCCUGCCGCAAAAUCUUUGUGGCCGGUGUGUUCUGAUCUGCGGUGGCCUGCUUGCCUAUCUUCCAAGAUGUGAUACGCGCCUUGCCGCCGGAUCUCGAUGGAGGGGGCGAGGUGGGUAGCCAGACGGGACGAGGUGGCACCGGAGUCUUCUGUGGCGGCGCUCGUUCAGGGUUGUCAAGAUGGUGGAGCGAUGCGGUAGACGAACAGAAUGUGCCUGCGGAAUUGGGUGAAUCGACUGUGAUGCCGGAUCCAUGAGCGCCACGGCGGAUUAAGAGGGUCAGGAUGUGUACCAAUCCUACAGAGUGUGCACCAUGCACCAAUAGGAUGGGGGCUCUUGAGAAGUCAAUUAGAGGGUUUGCGGACAAGAGCCAUAAGGAAGUUGUGAAGCCAGGGUUAGGAACAAAUUUUGACUCGUUGACGGAGGUGUAUGACUUCUACAACCUAUAUUCCUGGGAACAUGGUUUUGAAAUCCGAUACGGGGAAAGCAGGCUGAACCCAGAGAAAAAGGAAGACCAUGCAGGAAAUUGUGUGUGCAGAUGCUCGGGGAAGCUAUUGUGAGAGAAUACAAGGUCUUGCCGGUGUGAGUGUCCUAGGCUGCUCCAGACCACAGACAACGGAUGGUACAUAACAGAGCAUCGAGUGAAGCAUAAUUGCGUAAUGGCAAGAAGUUGCGGAGAGAUGGCGCACUGGCCAUCUCACAAGCAUAUUGAUGGCGCACUGGCGAGUAUUUGUCAUACUCAAUGCUUUCCUCAAAAUAAUCACUUAAGAACAGAGGAUAGCUUUCCUGUUUGAUGCUAUCCCUUCUAUAAUGACAGAUUAUAUUGAUAAUUGCAAUGGUAUGCAAUGUAACUGCAGGAAAUCUUCUCAGGCAAAUACUGUAAUAGCCACCAAUGGUUUGAUGACAUUGCUUAUUGCAAGACUUGACCAUCGAAAAGUUAUUGCUUGUUUGACUCUGCUGAAACUAAUAAAGGUUUGGUUUUUAUUC